rnacentral:rRNA from 1 species
UACGUAGGGUGCAAGCGUUGUCCGGAAUUAUUGGGCGUAAAGAGCUCGUAGGCGGUCUGUUGCGUCGGCUGUGAAAACCCGAGGCUCAACCUCGGGCCUGCAGCCGAUACGGGCAGACUAGAGUUCUGCAGGGGAGACUGGAAUUCCUGGUGUAGCGGUGAAAUGCGCAGAUAUCAGGAGGAACACCGGUGGCGAAGGCGGGUCUCUGGGCCGAUACUGACGCUGAGGAGCGAAAGCGUGGGGAGCGAACAGG